GGGGGAAACCCUGAUGCAGCAACGCCGCGUGAAGGAUGAAGGUUUUCGGAUUGUAAACUUCUUUAGUCGGGGACGAAGAAAUGACGGUACCCGAAGAAUAAGCCACGGCUAACUACGUGCCAGCAGCCGCGGUAAUACGUAGGUGGCGAGCGUUGUCCGGAAUUACUGGGUGUAAAGGGCGUGUAGGCGGGUUAUCAAGUCAGAUGUGAAAUUCCAGGGCUCAACCCUGGAGCUGCAUCUGAAACUGAUGAUCUUGAGUGCUGGAGAGGAAAGCGGAAUUCCUAGUGUAGCGGUGAAAUGCGUAGAUAUUAGGAGGAACACCAGUGGCGAAGGCGGCUUUCUGGACAGUAACUGACGCUGAGGCGCGAAAGCGUGGGGAGCAAACAGGAUUAGAUACCCUGGUAGUCCACGCUGUAAACGAUGGAUACUAGGUGUAGGAGGUAUCGACCCCUUCUGUGCCGCAGUUAACACAAUAAGUAUCCCACCUGGGGAGUA
rnacentral:rRNA from 1 species